rnacentral:rRNA from 1 species
UACGUAGGGACCGAGCGUUGUCCGGAUUCAUUGGGCGUAAAGGGCUCGUAGGCGGCCAACUAAGUCGGAUGUGAAAUCCCCAGGCUCAACUUGGGAACUGCAUCCGAUACUGGAUGGCUUGAAUUCGGGAGAGGGAUGCAGAAUUCCAGGUGUAGCGGUGAAAUGCGCAGAUAUCAGGAGGAACACCGAUGGCGAAGGCAGGUCUCUGGGCCAUAACUGACGCUGAGAAGCGAAAGCAUGGGGAGCGAACAGG